GGAACCCUAAUAGCAAGAGCCUGCAUUGCACGCUUACAUGAUAAUUCGGUAUUGUUUCUGCACAUAAGCCUGCAUUGCAUACAGAACACAUUUUUAUAUUUUUGCAUUGCCAUACGAUGGUGUAGUACGCAUAUUACUUGUAUCUGUGAAAUUAGAGAUUUUGUUAAGAAGAAUAAUUCUCAGUUGUUAUUGAUAGAGCCAAAAGGCUAAGUAUUUAUAGAGAUAUUACAAGCUUAACUAGGAAAACUAGGUUACUUGGAGACUACUCCAAAUCAAUUACAAUCAACUAAUAAAAGGAAACUAAAUAACAAUUUAAUAACAUUCCUAAUUUCCAACACUCCCCCUCAAGUUGGAGGGUGGAUAUCAAGAACGUCCAACUUGCACAAGAGAUUGUGAAAGGUGUUACUCCCAAAGGUUGCUGAUAAAGAGGCAGUGGUGUCACUGCUGUAGAGGGGGCAGCUGUGUCGCAGCUGUGUCACUGUUGUAAUGAAGGCAAAUUUGGAGGCAAAUGGAGCAGCGGUGUGCUGCUGUAAAGGGGGUUGUUGCUCCUCUCAAAUCCGACGAUGUAUGAGAGUCGUGAGUUGAAGGAAGCAGCACCCAAAUAAAGUUGCAUCUAUCUCCCCAUCAAAUUUGACACUGAUAAAUGGUCAAGAUUUGAAAGAAGAGAAAUUGAAAUAAUAGUAAAGAGACUCAAACAUGCCAGUCUCAUGGCAGAAACAAAUGCAAGAGGGGAAUGUGGUAGCAUACGGCUGUCUCAUGAAGAAAAAACUUCAAAAAAGGAGAAUAGUAAGGGAGGAAACCCGGCAAAUCAUGAACAGAGACAAAGACAAAGAUAAGGUGCUCAAAUUGAGAAGCGAAAAGGCAACUCAAGAGAGUAGCUGAAGAAGACAGAGACCGGCAGAACAGUCAAAUGAAAGGCUCGACGAGCGUUGACGAGGCUCGUGGAGGAAAAUAACCAGAGACCGGCAGAACAGUCAAAUGAAAGGCUCGACGAGCGUUGAUGAGGCUCGUUGAGGAAAAUAACAGCUCGGUGAGCGGUGACAAGGCUCACGGAGGAAAUAAACGGCUUAGUGAGCAGUGACGAGGCUCACGAAGGAAUCGCAAUGAAGACGGCGUGCCUGCCGCAAGUGUAGACGACUUAAAAAAAUGAUGGGUAGGCUCGAUGAAGGCCGAAGAUGCCGUGGUUGUGGCAAGCGUAGUAGACAUCAAAACAUGGGCUCAAUAUCUGAUUGCAACAGAGAGCAUGACUAGAGAUGGCUCAAUAUGAUUUGUAUAGAGAGCAAUACUUGUAUGAAAAACAUAAGGAAAUUGCAGCGCCAAAGAAGGGUGCGACUGUUGGUUUAGUUAGAUGUAGGAACUGUGGGAUGGUAUGGCUUUGGUAGCGGGAAUAAAAUAUUGAUCAUUGAGGAGAGGGUGAAUAAGACGACUAUACAAGAUUAAAACCCAUCAUGGGUGAGGGAUGAAAAGCGCCAACGACUCUCAAUUUGGCAAAAGAUUUCAAAGAUUAGCAACUAGGGUUGUGAAACAUCGGAUUGUGAAGAAAAUAAGGUUUGUAAAAAAGUUUCAAGAGACGCCCUAGAAUCAGUGCUCUGAUACCAUGAAGGAAGUUGAGGUUCCACCCCAAAACCAAUUGGCAAUGGGGGGAGUAGCCUAACUCCUUAUAAACUCAGGCUAGGUCCCUUAACAUUUCAAUGUGGGACAAACACUCUCAACACGCCCCCGCACGUGUGGCGAACUUUUAAGCCUAACACGUGGACAACACAUAUUGGGUGACGUGGGAGCACGUGUGGCCGUUGGGCCCAACACGUGAAGCCUUGCUCUGAUACCAUGUGAAAUUAGAGAUUUUGUUAAGAAGAAUAAUUCUCAGUUGUUAUUGAUAGAGCCAAAAGGCUAAGUAUUUAUAGAGAUAUUACAAGCUUAACUAGGAAAAUUAGGUUACUUGGAGACUACUCCAAAUCAAUUACAAUCAACUAAUAAAAGGAAACUAAAUAACAAUUUAAUAACAUUCCUAAUUUCCAACAGUAUCCAUUCUACUUAUGUAUAUAGCACAUGUAAGGCAGUGCUGGUGGCAGUCCAUGUAGCAUACCACAUUAUAGAGAUAUGUUUUAUUUGAUGAAAUGUUUGACACUUGAGUUGGACAAACAUGACCAACCUGAAUUUUAGGCAACUCGGGGAAGUAGUAGUUGAUAAGUUGAGCAGAUGGAAACAAAGGAAAGUCCUGCCGACAAAUUACAAUAUAAAUGUAUCUGAUAUAUACUCAUGUAAGUUAAUUUUUCGGCUUAUAUAAUGGAAUUUGUUUCAUUAGGCAAUACUGUUUUUUGUGCUUGAGUAGGUUGAGACAUUAUGUUUGACCCAAGAAACGAGUUAAGAAUUCUUCAGAGUCCAUUCCAUUUGUAUGGUUUAAAAGUUUCACUGUUCAGAGAGAGAGACAGAGAGAGAGGAUUGACAGUCACCCAACUUAUGUUUCUAUAGAAUGGUUCCCUUCCCAAA
rnacentral:lncRNA from 1 species